GGACGAUUAGCUCAGUCGGUUAGAGCACUUGGUUUACACCCAAGGUGUCGGGGGUUCGAAUCCCUCACCGUCCA
rnacentral:tRNA from 1 species